GACGAACGCUGGCGGCGUGCUUAACACAUGCAAGUCGAACGGAAAGGCCCUGCUUUUGUGGGGUGCUCGAGUGGCGAACGGGUGUGUAACACAUGAGUAUCCUGCCCUUGACUUUGGGAUAACUUCAGGAGACUGCGGCUAAUACCGGAUAGGAGCUCCUGAUGCAUGGUGGGGGUUGGAAAGUUUCGGCGGUUGGGGAUGGACUCGCGGCUUAUGAGCUGGUUGGGGGGGUAGGUGCAUACCAAGCGUUUGACGGGUAGCCGGCAUGAGAGGGUGAACGGCCACCAGAGGCCUGAGGUACGGACCAGACGGCUACGGGAGGCAGUAGUGGGGAACAUUGCACAAUGGGCGGAAGCCUGAGGCAGAGACGCCGGGUGCGGGAUGACGGCCUUCGGGGUGUGAACCGCUUUCGCCUGAGACGAAGCGUGAGUGACGGUAAUGGGUAAAGAAGCACCGGCUAACUACGUG
rnacentral:rRNA from 1 species